AUGGAAUAACGAAAUAGGACGUUUGAUUCUAUUUUGUUGGUUUUUAGGAUCGACGUAAUGAUUAAUAGGGAUAGUUAAGAGCAUUAGUAUUCAAUUGUCAGAGGUGAAAUUCUUGGAUUUAUUGAAGACUAACUACUGCGAAAGCAUUUGCCAAGGAUGUUUUCAUUAAUCAAGAACGAAAGUUAGGGGAUCGAAGACGAUCAGAUACCGUCGUAGUCUUAACCAUAAACUAUGCCGACUAGGGAUCGGAUGAUGUUAAUUUUUUAAUGACUCAUUCGGCACCUUAC
rnacentral:rRNA from 1 species